rnacentral:misc_RNA from 1 species
UCAAAGUAUCAAGCUUGGCUUGUUGUUGGGCUCUUUGUCACCUGGUGACAGGUCCAAAAAAUAAUGACCGGUGUCAUAAAGACUCUAUAUGCAACGAGCUUGUAACAGCACGCAUCUAGUAGUCAAUACGGCCUGGUUAUGACCCCUUUAUUUCUCCAA